CUGGGCGACAGAGCGAGACUCUGUCUCAACAACAACAAAAUUGUCAUUAUUCCAUAAAUAAUACAGUAUGACAAUUAUUGACAUAGCAUUUACAUUUUAUUAGGUAUCGUAAAUUAUCUAGAGUAUAAUUUAAAGUAUCCGGGAGGCCGUGCGUAGUUCAUAUGCAAAUACUGCGCCAUGUUACAUCAGGGACUUGGGCAACCUCAGAUUUGGGUAUCCGCAUGGAGUGCCCUCUGGCGCUUGACUUCUACCGCGGCCAUCGCGCUUCCAUCCGCCAGGUGGCGACACAGCCGGCGCGGAGCGCCGAUCUGGGCCUGCGCAUGCGCGCCACGGACGAGGCAGGCCGGGUGCCUGGGCCUGGGAGCCAUAAGCCGGAGAGUCUGGCGGGCUAAGCUCAGCGGCAUCCGGGUUCCUUGUGGCCGCCGCAGCAGCUCGAGAACACGAAUCCGUUUGGCCAAAACUGAAACAAACACACGGAUGCACAUAUGUCUGUUUACUUCUAGGCCAGGUGCAGAGGGAACGUCUGGAAUGACACUCAACGAAAACUGCGGUUACUUGGGAAGAUGAGCCUUUUACCUCUCAGCCUUUCCCCUUCUGUAAUGUCUUGUUUUAAUGUCUUGUUGAAAACCAGAAGAGGCCGGGCGCGGUGGCUCACGCCUGUAAUCUUAGCAGUUUGGGAAGCUGAGGUGGGGGUGAUCACCUGAGGUCAGGAGUUCGAGACCAUCCUGGCUAACACGGUGAAACCCCGUCUCUACCAAAAAUACAAAAAUUAGCCGGGCGUGGUGGCAGGCGCCUAUCAUACCAGCUACUCGGGAGGGUGAGGCAGGAAAAUCGCUUGAACCCGGGCGGCGGAAGUUGCAGUGAGCAGAGAUCGCGCCAAUGCACUCCAACCUCAAAACAAAACAAAACAAAAAAGUAAACAAAAAAAACAGAAGAAAGGCAGGGCAGGACCACGAGCUCUGAGGGAGAUUAGUCAUCCACUUCCUCUCCCUGCCGACUAUCCAGAAAUUCCAUCCUCAUUAGCAUCCGUAUUAGGAGAGGAAACACACCCAGGUUUUACUGGAACGGGAGCUAUGUAUUCAGCCUUUCUUGUUUAAGCCACACUGCCCCUGACUGUAAGGACCCUGAUGCAACCUUCUCUGCAUCAUGUAUGGAAGCAAAUCCUACGUGGACUUCUAUCUUCUGAGGACUCAGGCGGCUCGUGGGCCAUGCCAGCACUUCUAGUGUUCCUCGCUACCCUGCAAUUUUAGCAUGACCAUUUAUUUAUUUAUUUGUUUGUUUGUUUAUUUAUUUAUUUAUGACUACAAAGAUCCAGAAGACAAACAUGACCAUUUCUUUCUUUUUUUUUUUUU
rnacentral:lncRNA from 10 species